rnacentral:sRNA from 1 species
AUAAAUGCUUUCUAGGGUUCCGCAACGUUAAUGAUUGGUCUGGUCCGAGAGAAAGCCACAUCUUAUAUGUGACACGGAAGGAUAAAAGCCUGGGAGAU